CUUACCCCGAUGAAAGGAAUGAACUUCUGAUAGGAGUCUUCGUCCGGGCUGCAGGAAGAGGAGGAGACUGUUAGGGUCUGCUGGGGGGUGGACGGUGACCGGGCCCAGCAGGCAGGGAAUGCCUCACCCUGCAUGCAGGAAGGGCAUCCGAAGCUCGCCAGGCUGAACAACCCCCCGCCCCACCACGUUACUGACAGUGACCACGGAAGAGCUCCCACCCGAUGAGGCGGGUUUGCUUUCGGCACCUGUCCCUGCAGGAUCUGAUGCACAAAGGCAGGCGGGAGAAACAAACUCUCAAUUAUCUACUUGAGAAGAAAGUGAAGUCGGAGCGUUCCUGAAGGUCUCCGUGGGCACGCUGGCGAGGGAAAUCUUUUGUACCUUUCUACAUCUUAAAUAAGCCCCAAGCUCCUGUUUCUCUGCCGUGCAGGCAGAAGGAGAGAUGGCUCUAUGGACCAUUACAAUCGGCUCACCUGAAAACAACUCCAGGGAACAGACAGCAUUUUAAAGUGUGGAGAUGGGCAGAAAGAGUGGGUAAAAAUAGCCCGGCUGCAUCCCCAGCCAGCUGCUGCUGAGUCACGGCUGCGGAGGUCACUGAAAGGCCUGCAUACCUGCACUGCUGGCAGCGUCUGCAGAGCAUCUCUAGCUGCAGGGAAGCAGCCCCGUGGCGGAUCUGCUGGCAAGGCACGGCCUGGGUUAGGAGCAGAGCCAGCUGGGGAGCAGUGGAGAUUGCAGACUGUAGACAAGGCCUAGGCGGCUCCACUUGUGCGUGAAGCAGGCUGGGGUUUGUCCCUCAAAUACCACAAUAUUCUGAGUCAUAGGCAAGAGAACCAUGGAAAGACUCCAGCCCUCACGUAGUUCAUAGUGCAGGAACGCAUCUUACACAUCUAUAUACCACCGCAUGAAUCAUCCACUACUGGAAUGCAGCCUUCUCUGGGGUGGAACACAGCAGCUAUUAUACAAGAGAGUUCAUCUAGCAAGGGAAUGCAGCCAGUUCUGGAGAGAGAUGCGGGAAGGGAGUUAUACAGGGAAUGUUUGCCCAGCAAUGAAAUGCCUCUGGGGUGGGGCAAGGGGCUGUUUAUAGAGGGACCCCUUGCUGAGGGCUGAGAGUAACCAGCUCUGGUGUGGAACACAGCAGCCAUUUGACAGCUUAGAGCACAUAAAGUGAAGCAGCCAGGGAUGUUUUAAAC